CCCGAACAAGUUUCAUCUUUAGCUACAUCCUUGUUUUGGCCUGGGACUACACGAGCGGGAUGAGACAGUGACGUUACAAAACCGGUGCCCGCUAGCUAACAACGGCAGGGAACGUCUCACAAACCGGAGCGACCAGGACUUCCUCAGAAAGUUUUCCUCUGAGCUGAGCCGGCUAAACACACCACCACCAGACCAGAGGAGGUCACAGGCCUGCAGGAGAGGCCCCAGUCUGGCUGGUGACAUAAACUGGCCCCUAUUAUUGUGCGUGUGUGUGUGUGUGUGUGUGUGUGUGUGAAGUAUAUUAAACCUUUUGAAACAAGUAAUUCAUCAUGGGUUUUAAUGGGGUCUGUUUAGCGGCAAAUAGUUGUUGGCACUGAACUUUCACAUUUAUAUGUCAACACAGGCUUGAUUAAGUUCUCUUAUCUGUAUUAAUAUUCAUAAAAAUACACAAAACAUGAAAUAUUUUACUUCAAAUACGUUUAACAAUUAAUUUUAGAUGCAUAAAUAGCUGUCUGUUCUGUCACGUGAAAAUCUAGUUGUAAAUUGUGUGUACAUAUAGUGCUGUUGAAUAAAUAACCACUGUUAGCCUUUGUGUUGACAUGACCUUCAAAACAAAAUUCAGGAACUUUGAUAUAACACCGACAUUCUGUAAAAAAUUAACGCCUUUGCCUUAUUUGUUCCCCACUGUAAAACAGUAUAUAACAAGCUCCUUCUCCUUCUGUGUGAAUGUCUUCAUUCAAGUGCAACAGGAUGUUUUAGAGAGAUUAGAUACGAUCAAGCUUGUGGGAAUGUGACUUAGUGAGGGAGUGAUGCUUAACAAUGAAAAUAACAGGUUUUAUACGUCCUUGUUAGCGUCACCACUUGCACUCACACUCCACUGUGUUUGAUAUGCAAAAAUAAAAUAAAAAUGAAGGAAUACAUGCUCUAAUGAUAUCCUCAUUAGAGAGUGUGUUACACAUCUUUUUUCCUCCCUGACAACAUUUUGGACAAAUUGAAUAAAUGGAUAAAUGCAAAUGGCUCAGAUGCACAUUUUGUUUAUUUUUUCUAGGAGGAUUAUCCAUAUACAGUCAAGCACUGUGAGGCCUCGGAGCUGUUAUGUCCUCAACACCAUCUCUGGUGAGUUUAAUGUCUACUGUACAAAAAAGGAGAAAAACAGAGAUCAGUAGUCUGCCUCAGCUACAUUAAGAACAGGAACACACACAAAACCAUUCAACCACCCACUGCAGACAUUCAAUAACAUGCUGAAUUUGGCAAUAAGAAAGCAUAUCUACUGAUCCUAUUUACUAGGAA